rnacentral:tRNA from 1 species
UGGGGAUUGGUGAAAUGGCAUCACGUUGCGCUCUGGACGCAAAAUUUGAGGUUCGAAUCCUUAAUCCCCAGC